rnacentral:rRNA from 1 species
GGGGAUCCCCGUCCGUUAAAGGUGGGCAGUUACCUUGGGUGAAGUUAACGCGUGGGAAUCUAACCCUUGACUACGGAAUAACGCAGGGAAACUUGUGCUAAUACCGUAUGUGUCCUUCGGGAGAAAGAUUUAUCGGUCAAGGAUGAGCCCGCGUUGGAUUAGCUAGUUGGUGGGGUAAAGGCCUACCAAGGCGACGAUCCAUAGCUGGUCUGAGAGGAUGAUCAGCCACAUUGGGACUGAGACACGGCCCAAACUCCUACGGGAGGCAGCAGUGGGGAAUAUUGGACAAUGGGCGCAAGCCUGAUCCAGCCAUGCCGCGUGAGUGAUGAAGGCCCUAGGGUUGUAAAGCUCUUUCACCGGAGAAGAUAAUGACGGUAUCCGGAGAAGAAGCCCCGGCUAACUUCGUGCCAGCAGCCGCGGUAAUACGAAGGGGGCUAGCGUUGUUCGGAAUUACUGGGCGUAAAGCGCACGUAGGCGGAUCGAUCAGUCAGGGGUGAAAUCCCAGGGCUCAACCCUGGAACUGCCUUUGAUACUGUCGAUCUGGAGUAUGGAAGAGGUGAGUGGAAUUCCCAGUGUAGAGGUGAAAUUCUUAAAUAUUCGGAGGAACACCACUGGCGAAGGCGGCUCACUGGUCCAUU